rnacentral:lncRNA from 10 species
CAUCUCUGCUGCAGCCAACUGACCUACUUAUAGCAUCUAUGUGUCCCCUGUGUUUUUCUAUCUCUAUGCUUCUGCUCACGUUGUUGCUUCUGUCAGAGAUGUUUUUCCACCCCAAACCUGUUCCAUGUCCAUAAGCCCAAAUCCCAGCUCAUAUAUUUCCUCUCUUUAGAAGCCUCUCCUGAUUCUCCUUCCUUGGAUUUCUCAUAGUAAUUUGUCUGUAACACAACUUUUAGGAACAACCACUUCUUCUGUCUAUGAGCAUUACAAUUUCAGAGGUAUUUUUCUUCUUUCUUUGAGGGCCUAGCAGAUUGUCUGGAACACAGUAACCGCUUCAAACAUAUGUCAGGGAGUAAAAAUACCACAUGGGAUAUGGUUUAAUAAUAGCCUAUGGUGAGUAAUAUGACGAUGAUGGAAUUUCAACGCUUGCAAGCGAUCUCUACAGUACAUCUAUUUCAGUGAUAAAUAACAAUUGUUGAUAAUUAACAAUUAUCACGUGCCAGGUACUGUUGUAUAGCACUUCCCAUGUUUCACAUAAUUUAAUCCUCACAGCAAUCCUAUAGGAUGGAUACUAUUAUUAGCCCAUUCUACAGAUGAGACAACUGAGCCCAGAGAGCUCUUAAUUAUUUGGCAACAGACCACAGGCUCCUGAUCCUGAUCUCAAUGACACCUGAUUCAUAAUAACCCCAUGUUCACAGGGUCAAAGUGAGAAUGAAAUGAGCUAUCACAUAACAGCGAUUCCCAACUGGGGAUGAUUUUGGCCCAUCAGGAGACAUUUGACAAUAUCCAAAGACAUUUUUGGUUGUCACCACUGGAGAAGUGCUACUGGCACCUUAUGGGUACAGGACAGAGAUGCAGCUGAACAAUGUACAGGACAGCCCCACACAACAAAGAAUUGUCCAGUUCCAAGUAUCAAUAGUACCAAUGUUGAGAAACCUCACCCUCGCCUUGUCAUCUUCAGUCACUGAAACACCUCCAAAAUCUCGAAUUCAACAUCCCCACUUUGACUUCACCUCAUGUCCUUCCAGCUCCCGUAAUCUAAUACCAUCGCUGCAAAAAUUCUUCAGCCCUACUGAGACUGUCAAUUCACUGACACUCUCUUUUCACUAUCACCCCAUCCUUUUGUUGUUGUUGUUGAGACAGAGCCUUGUUCUGUCGCCCACGCUGGAGUGCAAUGUCAUGAUCUCAGCUCACUUCAACCUCCAUCUCCCGGGUUCAAGUGAUUGUCCUGCCUCAGCCUCCCGAGUAGCUGGGAUUACAGGUGCAUGCCACCAUGUCUGGCUAAUUUUUUUUUGUAUUUUUAGUAGAGAUGGUGUUU